CCUACGGGAGGCAGCAGUGAGGAAUAUUGGUCAAUGGACGAGAGUCUGAACCAGCCAAGUAGCGUGAAGGAUGACUGCCCUAUGGGUUGUAAACUUCUUUUAUUUGGGAAUAAAACAGGGUAUGCAUACCCUUUUGUAUGUACCAUAUGAAUACGGAUCGGCUAACUCCGUGCCAGCAGCCGCGGUAAUACGGAGGAUCCGAGCGUUAUCGGGUUUUAUUGGGUUUAAAGGGAGCGUAGGUGGUUUGUUAAGUCAGUUGUGAAAGUUUGCGGCUCAACCGUAAAAUUGCAGUUGAAACUGGCAGUCUUGAGUACAGGAGAGGUGGGCGGAAUGCGUGGUGUAGCGGUGAAAUGCUUAGAUAUCACGAAGAACUCCGAUUGCGAAGGCAGCUCACUGGACUGCAACUGACACUGAUGCUCGAAAGUGUGGGUAUCAAACAGGAUUAGAUACCCUGGUAGUC
rnacentral:rRNA from 1 species